AUUAUGUAACCAAAUUGAGUGAUAAAAAUAGUGAAAAGUCGAAGAAAGGAAACAGAAACGUCGCUCUUAUAUUUGAUGGAUUGAAAACUAAAACGACAAUUUUAGGAUAAAAUAUAAAAUAUGAAACAAUUUUAUUUUAAAAAAUUCCACUUAUCUAAUAAAAAUUGUGUCACAAAAAAAAACACAUGCCCAAAGGAUACAAAUACAAGCCCAAAUCCCAACAUAUACAAAUUCACAACCUAUAUUAUGAUAUAUAUAUAUAUAUAUAUAUAUAUAUAUAUACGGUUCGAAGCGAAUAUCCGAGUUUAGAAAAAAUAGUAUUUGUUAUUUGCUUCGAUUUUUACGAAUACUACAUUUUCCUAUUUGCUUUGCUCCAAAAUCUUACGGAUAUUCGGAUUUUUCGAAUCAAAUCAAAUUGAAUAGCGAGUCAAAGCGGAUCGAACGAAUAUUUUGCCCAGACCUAAUGGAAAUGCUACAAAUGGAAAUAUCUAAUCUUCUCACCUGA
rnacentral:sRNA from 1 species